CUCUUCCGAGAGGCACAUGGUUCUAGCCUGGACCUGGCUGGGCUCCAUGAGAAUGAGUUACCUCCACCCUGUCCCAACAGCUGACAGCCAGGAGCCACUCUCCCAGCUGCAGGCCUUUGUGGUCCAUCUUGUCCCGCUUCCUCACUGUGGACCCCUGUCUGGGCCACCCUAGUGUGCUAAGCUGAGCAGUGCAGUGUGAACAGGGCCCAUGGUGUAUUCUAGGCCACAGCCCAGCACUCUUCUGGCUACUCUCAAACCAUGUCCCAUCUUCAGCCUCCCUCCCACCAACUUACUCCCCUGUGGUGAGUACCGUGGAACCCCAGCUCACCUCACUAUCAUACUCAGCUUUCCCUGAUGGCCCAUCCCAGCCCCUGAAGCUCUAUGCCAAGAACACAGCUACCGCACACCACCCUGAAACAGCCACAGCCAAGGCACCUGGCUCCUCCUUGCUCCCCUACUGAUGGUGUCCUACCCCGAACUCCAAAAAUUACACCUGGAGUCAGGUGCAGAAGGGAACCUUGUAUUUCACAGGCCUCAUUUUGAUGGCAAAAAGACAGUGUAAUAACAUAAUAAUAAUAAAAAUAUAAUACUGAAA
rnacentral:sRNA from 1 species